rnacentral:rRNA from 1 species
UUAAUUCCGAUAACGAACGAGACUCUCCCCUGCUAACUAGUCGGUUGGAUCUUGCUGGACGAGUUGGGCGCCGGGUGUCGUGCGGUUUUGCGCGUGCGUUCCGUGUUGGUCUCGGGCUGGUUGGGUGAAAGCUCUUCUGGUUCGUUGGCUGCGCGGGCGUGCUGUGUGAGCCCACGCCUCGGGUAGCUACACUCCAAGUCCGCCGUUUGUGAAACAUAUCUUCUUAGAGGGAUACACGGUUCUGAAACCGUCAGAGACUGAGAGCAAUAACAGGUCUGUGAUGCCCUUAGAUGCUCUGGGCCGCACGCGCGCUACAAUGCCGGGCACAGCGGGCACAUUUCCUUCUCCGACAGGAGCGGGUAACCCGUUGAAAGCCCUUACUCUGUUUCAGUCUCGCAUUGCCUCGUGCUUUGCGAACGGCGUGCUUGGGCCUGGGGCUUGCAAUUCUUUCCCACAAACGAGGAAUGCCUAGUAGCGGCGGGUCACUGAGCCCGCUGUGAACUCCAGU